AUUGAACGCUGGCGGCAUGCCUUACACAUGCAAGUCGAACGGUAACAGGUUAAGCUGACGAGUGGCGAACGGGUGAGUAAUAUAUCGGAACGUGCCCAGUCGUGGGGGAUAACGUAGCGAAAGCUACGCUAAUACCGCAUACGAUCUACGGAUGAAAGCGGGGGAUCGCAAGACCUCGCGCGAUUGGAGCGGCCGAUAUCAGAUUAGGUUGUUGGUGAGGUAAAAGCUCACCAAGCCUGCGAUCUGUAGCUGGUCUGAGAGGACGACCAGCCACACUGGAACUGAGACACGGUCCAGACUCCUACGGGAGGCAGCAGUGGGGAAUUUUGGACAAUGGACGCAAGUCUGAUCCAGCAAUGCCGCGUGCAGGAUGAAGGCCUUCGGGUUGUAAACUGCUUUUGUACGGAACGAAACGGUGAGCUCUAAUACAGUUUGCUAAUGACGGUACCGUAAGGAUAAGCACCGGCUAACUACGUGCCAGCAGCCGCGGUAA
rnacentral:rRNA from 1 species